CACAUACUCUCUUGUUUCGAGCUCACUGAAUUACAUAAUAAAUAAGUGCUUAGAUGAUUUCAGGCCCUUACAUAAAUAAUCACGGGUCAUUAGAUUUGAAAAAAAAAAAAAAAAAAGCAGUAUCUCCAAACUUUUAUUUGUACUAUUUUUUAAUAUAUUAAGUUGGGCUAGGUACCAUGACAACCUAUCGCUUUAUUUCAAUAGCUCACUAAGAACUUGUGAUUGCGUCGUCUUCAAUUCUUUGAUUUGAGAAGUUUGACCAACUGGGGAGAUACAUUGAGUGAGGCUUGUACAAGAGCUGAAGGCAAAGUUUUCCACACUGAUGCAUUCCCUGCUAACUUCCCAAAUAUUGGCCUGCACGCACAACAUAAUUUGAAAAAUAAUGAGAAAAC
rnacentral:lncRNA from 1 species